rnacentral:rRNA from 1 species
ACAAGCGGUGGAGUAUGUGGUUUAAUUCGAUGCAACGCGAAGAACCUUACCUGGCCUUGACAUCCCGGAGACCCUUAGGAAACUAGGGGGUGCUUCCAUCUGGAAGAAUCUGGAGACAGGUGCUGCAUGGCUGUCGUCAGCUCGUGUCGUGAGAUGUUGGGUUAAGUCCCGCAACGAGCGCAACCCUUGCCUUUAGUUGCCAGCAGUUCGGCUGGGCACUCUAAAGGGACUGCCGGUGUUAAACCGGAGGAAGGUGGGGAUGACGUCAAGUCCUCAUGGCCUUUAUGACCAGGGCUACACACGUACCACAAUGGCUGGAACAAAGGGAUGCGAAGCAGUGAUGUGGAGCGAAACCCAUAAAAACAGUCUCAGUUCGGAUUGAAGUCUGCAACUCGACUUCAUGAAGUCGGAAUCGCUAGUAAUCGCGGAUCAGAACGCCGCGGUGAAUACGUUCUCGGGGUUU